rnacentral:miRNA from 1 species
GUCCACUUCUGCCUGCCCUGCC